CCUACGGGUGGCAGCAGUGAGGAAUAUUGGUCAAUGGCCGGAAGGCUGAACCAGCCAUGCCGCGUGAAGGUCAGUGCCCUAUGGGCGUUAAACUUCUUUUGUGCGGGAGCAAUAAUGGUCACGUGUGGCCAGACGAGAGUACCGUACGAAUAAGCAUCGGCUAACUCCGUGCCAGCAGCCGCGGUAAUACGGGGGAUGCAAGCGUUAUCCGGAUUUAUUGGGUUUAAAGGGUGCGUAGGCGGAAUGCCAAGUCAGCGGUAAAAUCGCGGGGCUCAACCUCGCUCCGCCGUUGAAACUGGCGUUCUUGAGUGGGCGAGAAGUAUGCGGAAUGCGUGGUGUAGCGGUGAAAUGCAUAGAUAUCACGCAGAACUCCGAUUGCGAAGGCAGCAUACCGGCGCCCAACUGACGCUGAAGCACGAAAGCGUGGGUAUCGAACAGGAUUAGAUACCCGAGUAGUC
rnacentral:rRNA from 1 species